CACAGUGGAUGAUGCGGCUAUCUACCAGGCUUCAGCCAGUAACAGCAAAGGCAUUGUCUCCUGCUCUGGGGUUCUGGAGGUAGGCACCAUGAGUGAGUUCAAGAUUCACCAGAGAUUCUUUGCCAAACUGAAACAGAAAGCAGAGAACAAGAGGAGGGAGUUGGACGAGAGCAGGAGGAGAGGCAAAGAGAGCAUCCAGAAGGAGCCUCGUGAACAACAGCCUCUCCGGUGCAGCCCAAUCCCCCCUCUGAGGAAGCGUCACACCCAAAUCCCUCCCUUUUCACCAUUGGAUGGGAAGGAGGACCCAUUCAGUCGGGGGGGAGCGACUGCAGGGCAGCCAGCAACUGCUGUUACAGAACCUAACUGGGUUAGUGAUGAAGUCAUUGAACUGCCUGCAGGGAGCAAGAUUCAUAACAAUGAUUUUGACAACAUGAAUAUUGUUACCCCGAAGCCCCCAACCCCAGAAACUGUUGCCAAAAAGAAGAUGAAGAUCUCAAAUGGGGUAGAUUCCGAUGUUGUCAGCAGUAACAGCAGUCAUACAGGAUCCAGCUCCAAUGAAAAUUCAUAUGACGGAGGGAUGAGUUUGGCACAAUUUUUGUCAGAGGCUCUUCAUUCACAGACUGAUGAAGAAAAGAUUGCUGCACAAGGGGAUGGCACUGCGACAGAGGAGACAAUGGAUCCAACGUUUGCUGUUUCUAAACCAGAUGCAGAGAAAGGGAUAGAGGAGAAGUGGAGAGAGAGGGCGGACAGAGAAAGGAUGUUUGGAAAAGAACAGGAAAGAGAAAAAAUGAUAGAGAAAGGAAUAUCAUAUGAAAUAGAAAAAGAACGAGCCAGAGAAGUCGAUCAGUUGCAAAGGAAAACAGCACAUAACGCUUCCUCAGAUGUCAAAACUGAGGCAAAGAUACACACCCACGAUUACCAUGACCAUCACCCCAUUCAAGAAACUCUUUCCAAUGUGCUCCACUCAGUCAAAGAUUUUUUCUUUGGUAAGAGUAAGAAGGAUAACCCUUCUCUUGAUCAUCAUGUGAAAGCUCAGGAGAAAGGUCAUCCAAUUAUCCCAUCACAACCAUUUGUGCAUCAAAAUCCCCAUCCACGGGAGCUAGAUACUCAACUGGAGGUGUAUCAAACCAUCACGGACAAGACUGUAUCCAUGGACGUAGAUGAGCCACAGAAAGCCCAGAUAGCUGUGAUACCACAGCAGCAACCGCUGCCCUUGGAGCAGUGGAACCCAACAGAACACAAACAUGGAAUUACAGUUUCACACUCAGAAAAAAAACAUUUAGCACCCCAAACGGCACUAGAGAGUGGGCUUGAUUCACUGGAGCAUGCAGAGCGGACGGCCUUGAACGUGUGUCUGGAGGUGAUCAAAAAUAAUACAGAGAAAGGACCAACAUCUGGCCCUCCAGCCCUCUAUGGGGUAAGUUGUGCCUUGUUGCUUUUGAGAUCACAUUGACUGCUCAGUCUCACACUGCACUAGGCAGCCACUUAAAGGCUAUUUAUAGGUUAUACAUUUGUGCAGCAGGUCUUGAGUCUAAAUAUCCCUAGGCUAAUCUCGUUCCCAGACACUUGUGCGCAUUGGUGAUAAAGGUCUGGUGGAACAACACGUAAACAUUUGCCAGAUUUACUCCAAAAGCAAAUGGUGAGAAAUACCUGGCAUUCGGCAUUGGCUUAAACAGUUUAGUAUACCAAUCAACCUCUCUCAUUACAUUUUUCACAAUGUGUUUUUUGCCCCCAA
ensembl:lncRNA